GGGGAAGCGAACGACGCUGGGAGGAGCCGGCUCCGGGCCCGGAGGGAGAGAUCUGAGCUUCGCUGUCUCCCGGUCGGACGCUCGCAGCUGCGUUCCCGGGCUGGGGCUCCGUGCCGUCCAGGGCCGGGUCUGGGGGCCAGGACCUGCUGGGAUGACGUGAGUUGAGGAGGCUCAGCGGAAAGCGACAGGAAAGGUGGGUGGAAAAGGAAAGGGCCCAUUAGACGAAUCUGAUUCAUCUUCUGUGACUAAGCACCCGCAACAGUUAGGAAUUUAGGCAGAGCUGGUGAUCCUGGGACAAUAGCACUUCCUAGGUAAUUCGUCUUAAAAAGUUAAAGAAGCUGCUUGACCACAAAGUAUGAACUUCUGGAGGGCGGGGCCCGUGGCAGCUGACAGGGAAUAUUGUGUGUUGAGAAAGGAAAUGAGUUCCAAGGAUACCAAGGACAACGUUACCAGAGGCAGAAAUGACACGAGAUACAAAAGAACGUAUUCAAAAAUUUAACAAAACAGAAAUGGAAAAUUAUUUUAAAAUAUAUUGAAAUAUCAACGAAUAACACCUCAAAUGUACAGGGAUAUGUAAAGCAGCAACUCGGGUCGGAAGCAAGGAAUCGAGGCGUUGGGUGUGUUUAAACUUGACGAGGUAGGGAGAAGAGACCCUGAUACAAACUCCUUCAGAAUCGUUGACUCUCGGUCCUUUCUAGUAUAUUUUUUUAGUAGAACAACGUGCAGAUAAGUGUUUAAAAUGCAGAUCUUCCUAAGGAAACACUUUUAAAGGCAACAGAGGGGAAUUUUUUUUUAAGUUAAAAUGGAAGAAGUUAGUGGGUUUAACAGAUAUGAACAACUGAGUUUCCUUUGGGGGAGAGGCAAUGAAAAGAGCCGGAGUACUUUAGGGAUCACUUUGGAGAGGAUAUUGUAGUGGGGGAAAGGAAGGUAAAAACUUAGGAAGCAGAGUAGUACCUUUAAAGUCGUCAGUACUUUAUAUACCAUCAACUGGGCUAUGGACAACAGAAGCUGUGCCUGGAAAUAACUCACACUGAAGGUUAACUUGAAUAUAAAUUUAGAACAGAUCUUAAAUACAAAUGAUGAUGUUCAUUAUAAACUGUUAUUCUUCAAAGACUCAUUUAACUGAAGUAACAUUGUAUUUGCAUACCAGAGCACUGGUGUUUUUCAAAAUGAGUUUAGGAUAAGAAAAUUCACUUGAAAAGCUGGAGUAUGUAUGUAUUUUGCGCCAUCAUGGAUUUUAUCAUAAGCAGUGUUCAAGAAAACAAAUUACCAGCGAAUUCCCACCCUAUGAGUAAAAGUUAUCUUGUCAACAUAUCAAUAGAUGAACAUUUUGUACUUCUUGGAAUACAUUUCAUGGUAGCUUUCAUGAUGAAGUUUAUAGACGUGUCUGUUAUAUGUCUUCAUGUCUCCAGCUACAACUGAGUGUCUCUGAUGAUUAAACAACAACCCGAGUUUUCUCUCUGCAGAAGACUCCUAAAAAAGAGUUGUAAUUAGUUACCAGCUGAGAAAGAUGCAAUACAAAUAGGAAAUAACCGCAAUUUAUAAUUUUAUUUAUCUAAAAUCUGUCUUCCUCCCUAGACAGUAAGCUCUCUGAAGUCAAGAACCAUAGUUGUUUUGUUCACUACUGUAUACUCAGCACCUAAUAGUACUUGGCACAUAAGUACUCAGGGACUAUUUGUCAAAUGCAAGAACAUAUGCCCCUAAAGCAGAAGUCAGGAAAACCAGAAAAAAUGCCUUUAAGUAUUACAGAAAUGCCACAGGCCUCCACUUAAAUUGAAAAGCAAGCUAACCCCUCUUGAUAAAAAUGUGGAUUGAGAUCAAGAAGCAGCUUCUCUGCUCCUUCUGGAAUCUCCACCUGGUUUAGCCUGCUGCCUCCACUCCUGCCUCCACCAUGUCCAUCAGGGUGAUCCAGAAGUCCUACAAGGUGUCCACCUUUGGCCCCCAGGCUUUCAGCAGCCACCCCUACACUAGUGGGCCCAGUGCCUGCACCAGCUCCUUGAGCUUCUCCCUAGUGGGGAGCUUCACUGUGCAGCUUCUGGGGUGGCCUGGGCGGAGGCUAUGGUGGGGCCAGCAGUAUGCGAGGCAUCACCACCAUCACGGUAAACCAGAGCCUGCUGAGCCCCCUUAACCUGGAGGUGGACUCCAACAUCCAGGCUGUAUACACCCAGGAGAAGGAGCAGAUCAAGACCCUCAACAACAAGUUUGCCUCCUUCACAGACCAGGUAUGGUUCCUGGAGCAGCAGAACAAGGUGCUGGAGACCAAGUGGAGCCUUCUGCAGCAGCACAAGAUGGCUGGGAGCAACAUGGACAACAUGUUCGGGAGCUAUAUCAACAACCUUAGGCGGCUGCUGGAGCCAGGAGAAGCUGAGGCUGGAAGCGGAGCUUGGCAACAUGCAGGGGCUGGUGGAGGACUUCAGGAACAAGUAUGAGGAUGAGAUCAAUAAGCCUACAGAGAUGGAGAAUUAAUUUGUCCUCAUCAAGAAGGAUGUGGAUGAAACUUACAUGAACAACGUAGAGCUGGAGUCUCACCUGGAAGGGCCGACUGUAUGAAGUGGAGAUCCGGGAGCUGCAGUCCCAGAUCUCCAACAUGUCUGUGGUGCUGUCCAUGGACAGCAGCCACUCCUGGACAUGGACAGCAUCAUCACUGAGGUAAAGAGGCAGUACAAGGAGGUUGCCAACUGCAGCCGGGCUGAGGCUGAGAGCACGUACCAGAUCAAGUAUGUGGAGCUGCAGACGCUGGCUAGGAAGCACAGGGAUGACCUGCGGCAUACAAAGACUCAGAUCUCCAAGAUGAACCGGAACAUCAGCCAGCUCCAGGCUGAGAUUGAGGGCCUCCAAGGCCAGGGGGCUUCCCUGGAGGCCACCAUCCCAGAUGCUGAGCAUCGUGGGGAGCUGGCCGUUAAGGAUGCCAAUGCCAAGCUCUCCAAGCUGGAGGCCACUCUGCAACGUGUGAGUACCAGGAGCUGAUGAAAGUCAAGCUGGCCUGGAAAUGGAGGUCGCCACCUACAGAAAGCUGCGGGAGAGCUAGGAGAGCCAGCUGGAGUCUGGGAUGCAGAACAUGAGUAUCCAUACGAAGACCACCAGCGGCUAUGCAGGUGAUCUGAGCUCGGCCUAUGUGGGCCUCACAACUCGUGACCUCAGCUAUGGCCUGGGCUCCAGCUUUGGCUCUGGCACAGGCUUCAGCUCCUUCAGGUGCACCAGCUCCACCAGGGCCGUGGUUGUGAAGAAGAUCGAGACCCGCGAUGGGAAGCUGGUGUCUGAGUCCUCUGACUUCCUGCCCAAGUGAACAACUGUGGCAGCUCCUCCUAGUCUGCCCCUCCCGUGGCUGCCACAGACUCCAGGAGGGAGGCUGCUGUGUGGGGAAGCACAGACAACAGGAGACCCCCCACCUGAGGCUCAACCCACCCGUGGGGGAGUUUACUGUCUGGGGACCCCCCUUGCCCAUGCUUCCAGCUAGAAAACAAUUGUGGUUUUUUUUUUGGUCCAAAAUAAAACCUCAGCUAGCUCCACCACAAAAAAAAAAAAAAAAAUUGUGGAUUGAGUCGUUAUUGCUUCUAGUUUACUGAGUUCCUUCUAUUUAUAUAAAUUCUUGAUUUGAUAUCAAGCUCAUUCUGGGGUGAAAGUUUAGGGAAUAAAUCAGACAUACAUUUCAGGGCAAAACCCCCUAUGUAUUUAAAAGUAGUUGUGACACACUUCGUUAAACAAUUAUCCUUAAUUAUAAUUCUUAGUCUAUUGGCUUAAAUUUAUUACUUGAAAUUGUCACUACUCGUUUGCCAAGUUUACAUGUUUAGUGUCUAUACUUACAGUUCUUCCCAGAUAGAAGAUACAUAAUUUAUCAAAUGGGCAAAGAAGUCCUUCAGGGAGUUGGUAAUAGCUCUACAUGCUGAUUGGUAAUUGAAUUAGCAAGAUAUGGUAGAUCUAACUGAUUAGAAGGUUUCAAUUUAACUUGCUGAACUAAGGAAGUAAAAUGCAGAAUUAUUAACCAUUUCAAUAUUAUCUUAAUUUGGGAUGUGAUAAUUAAUUACCACAAACUGAGUGGCUUAAACAAACAUUUAUUUCUCACAGUUAGGGAGGACGUGAAGUCCAUUAUUAA
rnacentral:lncRNA from 1 species